GAUACAAAGUGUAAUAUUAACAUAUUUUCAAAUUGUCUUUGCAGAGAAAGAAAUGGAUGAAGAAUAUAUGUAAGAAUCAAAUGGAAAAAUCUAUAACGACAACAGAUAUCUGUAUGAAGCCACCGAAUGUAAGUAUAAACUUGAAAUACUUCAACUUUUCU